rnacentral:rRNA from 1 species
UUGACCUCGGAUCAGGUAGGAAUACCCGCUGAACUUAAGCAUAUCAAUAAGCGGAGGAAAG